CAAGAUUGCCAUAUCGGAGAAUAUUGGAAUCGCCAUAAUUCUUCAAACUAAAUAAAAGAUAUUAUUUGGAACAGAAGCGAUUUCGAGAUGUUCCUUGUUGACGUUUUAAUAGUGAAGAUGGAAAUUAAAUAUGGCCAUUUUCCUUUCAUCGCCAUACUGCUGACAGAACAUACAAUGGGGAAAUAGAGAUAAAAAAUACCGGAAUUCCGAAAAUGGCAAAAGGGUUCGGUAACUGUCUGCUGCUGAGAUGAUAGUUGACGCUUCAAGGAAAUAAAGUUGGAUCUCAAGAUGCAUGAUGCCAUUCCAGUUUGAAUAUGAAUGAUAUCUUAGUUCUUGUUCCAUUGAUUCUUCUACAUCUACUAUUGAAAGAUGAAGUGCGAGUGAAGAAUCUGACUUAAUUCAAGAUGCCGCAGAAUUUUUGGUCCCGAACAAUUUAGACAUCAAUUUAUCACUCACGGACAGUUGUACGCCUUUGGCUUGAAGAUUUUUGAGAAUCUGGGGUUCUUUCUAUGCGAACAUGGAUUUAUCAUGGUGACACUUUUUGUUUGUUCUAUUUUCCUGUUUAAAUAGUUGGUAAAAUGCUGUUGAAAAUAUCUUGCAAACCUUUGGUAAUCAUGUCAUUCCUCAUAAUUUAAUAUUUAUACUGGAAUAUCUUCCAUUAAUCAGCAAAAACGAAUAUGUACAAAACGUUCUUUGUCUGAUUGUAUGUUUUAAUAUUAGAAAAGCAAUUUUAGCAAGUACUCUCCAAUUCAUAAAGGCUAUUAUAGCAGUUUGUAUGCCAUAGAAUUCAAAGUUUUUGCACCAUUUCGGAAGUCUGAAAUUUACUUGUGAACAACAAAGUAGAGAAUGCUACUCAUUUACUUGGCAUUAAAGUUUAAAUGAACGACAGAUCUCGUACCGGAAAGUCGCCAAACUUAUAUUUUCAACUGAAAGCGUGUUGUCUCGAGCCAAUUGAAAGCUAUCCCUUUUCCAACCUGUUACAUCCCAUCCAUUGUCAACCCAAUAAGUAGUACCAAGAUUGACGUGUGGAUAUUGCGUUCCUAUGAAAGGGAGAGGUUUCGGAAAUCCCCAGCCAUAGGCAGAUUAGUAAAUGCAGAUUUUAAUCACGUAAUGUUUAAUAGAUAUUUUCAGUAGAGUACUUUAAACUUUUUGACACUUAAGAGCUGAUGGAACACAGUAUUGGGAUUGUACUUCAUGAAAAUUUUUAUUAGCAUCAUUUGAACUUGAACAUUUUAUUUAACUGGAAGCAGGGUGUUGUAAGAAGAUUGUACAAUUUUGUGUGUCAAUUUUGAAGUCGAAGCAAACUUCUUGAUUAGCAGGAUACAUUGCUACUGAUAAGGUUUUCGGCUUUGUGUUGAAGAAAACUGGUUGACUGAUCCUUCAGUGAUCCAGGGGCCGCGUAAGUGAUCCAGGGGCUUGAUGGUAAAGUCUCGAGGUAAAGUCAAGUUCGAGACUCGAUUCCACCGAAGAACAGUCUUGUAAGUGAAUCUGACGCUCGCUAAAUCCAUCGGGGCCAAACUUCCUUCCCAUGUUGUGGUGUAGAAUUUAAGAGGCGGUGUUAGCUCGGGUGUCGUUUUCGUCAUAUGACCUCGAUUCAAAAUUACGAGGUGCGUCCGAAAAUAGCCCUAGUGUUGCUAUAAAACGUGACGUUAAUAUAACUAAACCUUCAGUGAUCCACGUAUUUAUACUUCUGGAUUACAAGGGAUUUUUCAGGUUCGAUUCCUCAAUCAAAAUAAUUAGGGCAUUCGUAACAAUCUCUUUAUAUUCAAAUCUAAUAGACUUUUGGGCCACAUGAUCGAGCGAAAAGCUCCAUCUUAACUUGAUUGAACGAUUCACUCUUAUUUGUUGGUGGAAGCUUCAUUUAAUUGUUCAAUAUUUUUUAAUUCCUUGCAAAGUAUCUGUGCAUUUGUAUCUUUCGUACUUCCACACUUCACAACGUUGAACUUCUUUCAAAUAUCUCAUCUUAUUUUGGAUAUUCUACUUAAAGCUCCUGUUCUUAAAUUUUUGAAAUAUAUCUGAAAAAUUAUAAUUUUAUAAUUGUACCUUCGGAUAUGCGUCUUCACAUCAUAAAAAUGAAUUUUGUCACCAGUCUUUCUGUCGUUGAUCCAUUUUGCUCUCCAAAUUCGUUUAAAUUCUCAUGCAUGUGGAUUUUGUGAACAUUUUGUAUUUAAUAGAUUGCCAUUUUAAAAGUUCAGCAAUAAUUGUUGCUUACUUGUGCGUGUUCUGGCAUAGCCAAAUUAGCGCUUGUCCCAAAAUCUGAAAAUCGAUGAUUUGGUACGAUGACAAGGUGCCUGAUGGCUUUAUACAGGGAAUCGGUAUUUAAUCAAAUGACUAUUCAGCCCAAAUUAUAAAAUAUGAAAUGUUUUAUGAACUCGAUUGCCUUACAACUCAGCCUCUUAAACUUCGAUUUCCUCACGGUAAUUUGGUGUAUAAUUCACAUGAUCAAUUAGUAUUCAAUUUAGCAUUUCUAGAAUUGAGAAUUAAAAUGCUUGUAUCUGUAAGUCUGUAGAAGAACUGUAGGUUAAAAGAAAUAACUUAAAAUAUGUAUAUCUAGAUAGCAGAAAACAACGCAUUCUUUCUAUGCCCAACCCAGAAAGCCAUAUUCAAUGCAAACGAUUCAAAAUCUAUUUCACAGUAUUUGUCCCUGUAUAUUACCAAAAUCUCCCAAACUAUCCAUCAAUCAAUAACAUGCUCACAGCAUUGAGGCUUUUAUACCAGAAAUCCAGUUCUUACUCUUAACUUCAGAGCAGUUUGUCCUCUCUCAAAAUUUGCCCCAUACUAUGCCAGAUUUAUCUUGCUUAAACCAGAACUUGGAUCUUUCUGACAAGAUCAUUUGUCAUGCACAUUAAAUGCAGAAAUCGUAUUUCAUUUAGAGGAAAGGCAUCAAAUGACAUGUGUUCAUUUCAACUGCAGUGAUUCAACGAAACUUCAAUCUUUUCUCCUCACUCCAAAGUUGAAGUAUAAAGCUAAGCUUCUUAUUUUAGGAAGGGUUGUAGGAGGGAAUUGUAAGGGAGGUGCGCGCGCACUUUUAGUUAGGGAAUUCAUAGGGAAAAACAAUACAGGUUUAUAAUGAAAAAUAGAAGGUUGUUUCAGAACAAUUCUUCCUUUCUCCUUCCCCUUAAGAAAUUUCAAUGGGUUGGGUACCAGCCGGCUGGUGAGGAUGGGAAUAUAUUCAUAUUGUAAAAUUUAAUGCCCCAUCCCCCUAGAUUACGAAGAAGCUUAAUUUAUACUUUCAAUUUGGAAGUAUGGAGGAAAAAUAUGAAGUUCAUCCAAAAGUAUUUCGCCAUAGUUUCUCCUCUUGCUCCAACUUUAAAAGUACGCUAGAAGUUCUAUAAUUCAUUUUUGAUGCAAUUUAUUUAGUUUCCAUUGCUCCCUUUUGGAAAAAAGUAAACAUAAAAUCUAUUCCUUGAUUUAG